GUUAAUAUUGUUUUACCAAGCUGGACAACAAGCGGCUGUGCUUUGCAGUCCAAAGUUUAGCCUCCCUACUAUUUCUGUGAAUAUGACGGUCGAUAACUCCACUGUGGACUCAGUGCUGAAGAAUAAAAUGUCUUUUUAUUGGGACAUAAGCGGCUGCAGAAACCAAAACGCCAGUUUUAAGACUGGAGAAAUAAUGUUCAACAGCUCAGAAACCUGCUCCCAAUUGGUCUGUUCAGUUGAAUCAUCUGGAGUCAGUGUCAGUACAUGUGGAUCAGAGGAGUCUUGCAUCGGCAACAACAUGUGCGUAAAACCCGCUGACGUGUGCACUGUGACUGCCUCCAGCAUCAUCGAUUUCUCCAGCAGAGUCCACUCUGUCCCUGAUCGCUGCGUAUACAGUCUGAUGAAGCCUCAAGGAGGCUCAGACUUCAACCUACUAGCGGGUUUCCUUGAGCGACGCCGCCAAGAUGUGGCGUUUUUGGACCACUUGAUACUGUCCCUGAAUGGGUCAAGUGUCAAAAUCUAUCUGGAGCAAGGUGGAAGAGUCCGGGAUGGUCAACAAACGCUAACGCUCAACGCCACGGGUCAGGUGGUUCACGGGGUGGAGCUCUCGAAGAACCAGACUGGAGUUACUGCCAAGAUUCCUUCCAUCAACGCCACAGUCUUUUUGAUGGCAACACUGCACAUGUGACAGGACAUUUUGGAGCUAUGGAGGGCUUGUGUGGCAACCCCGCUAAUUCCAGUCAGAACUUCACCCUGAGUGCAGCCAAGUCCUCUGAUGACAGUGCAGCCAGCUGCGAGACUCUGCACAACCAAACCGCUGACAGCUCGAUCAACUGCACCCGCACAACUGAAUACUGCAAUCUCAUAAAGCAGGCCCCCUUCACUGUUUGCCACAACCACUCUGACCCCGAGCCCUUCGUAAGCGCCUGCACAAACACUCUGUGCAAAUAUCCAGCGGUGGACGGCCUCAACAAGUGCCAGUUUUUGGAGGCUUAUGCCGAGUCCUGCCGCCUGAAAGUGACCAUCACCAUCAAAUAA